rnacentral:misc_RNA from 1 species
UUUCCGUAGGUGAACCUGCGGAAGGAUCAUUCAUAAUAAGUGUUUUACUGCACUUUUUAAAAAUAGUACUCACCUUGUGUGCAAUGUUGUGUUUCCUUUCGGAGAAACACCUACACCAACCUAUAACCUUGAACCACUUUGUCUGAAAAACUAUUAUGAAUACUUAAUUCAAAAUACAACUUUCAACAACGGAUCUCUUGGCUCUC